rnacentral:rRNA from 1 species
AUCCUGGCUUAGGACGAACGCUGGCGGCGUGCCUAAUACAUGCAAGUCGAACGGUCUUUCUAUGGAAGCUUGCUUCCACUGAGAAGAUAGUGGCGAACGGGUGAGUAACACGUGGGUAACCUGCCCAUAAGAGGGGGAUAACAUCCGGAAACGGGUGCUAAUACCGCAUAGUUUUCUUGAUCGCAUGAUUGAGAAAGGAAAGACGGCCUUUGUGCUGUCGCUUAUGGAUGGACCCGCGGCGUAUUAGUUAGUUGGUGAGGUAACGGCUCACCAAGACGAUGAUACGUAGCCGACCUGAGAGGGUGAUCGGCCACAUUGGGACUGAGACACGGCCCAAACUCCUACGGGAGGCAGCAGUAGGGAAUCUUCCGCAAUGGACGAAAGUCUGACGGAGCAACGCCGCGUGAGUGAAAGAAGGUUUUCGGAUCGUAAAACUCUGUUGUCAGAGAAGAACAAGUUGGAGAGUAACUGCUCCAGCCUUGACGGUAUCUGACCAGAAAGCCACGGCUAACUACGUGCCAGCCGCCGC